GCUCAGUUGGUUAAGGGUCCAACUCUUGAUUUCGGCUCAGGUCACGAUCUUGCAGUUUGUGGGAUCAAGUCCCACAUCGGGCU
rnacentral:tRNA from 1 species